rnacentral:rRNA from 1 species
GUGGGGAAUAUUGGACAAUGGGCGAAAGCCUGAUCCAGCCAUGCCGCGUGUGUGAAGAAGGUCUUCGGAUUGUAAAGCACUUUAAGUUGGGAGGAAGGGCAGUAAGUUAAUACCUUGCUGUUUUGACGUUACCAACAGAAUAAGCACCGGCUAACUUCGUGCCAGCAGCCGCGGUAAUACGAAGGGUGCAAGCGUUAAUCGGAAUUACUGGGCGUAAAGCGCGCGUAGGUGGUUCAGCAAGUUGGAGGUGAAAUCCCCGGGCUCAACCUGGGAACUGCCUCCAAAACUACUGAGCUAGAGUACGGUAGAGGGUAGUGGAAUUUCCUGUGUAGCGGUGAAAUGCGUAGAUAUAGGAAGGAACACCAGUGGCGAAGGCGACUACCUGGACUGAUACUGACACUGAGGUGCGAAAGCGUGGGGAGCAAACAGGAUUAGAAAACCGUGUAGUCC